AUAAACCAACUACAGCUAAGGGCUCGUUUAUGCUCUACGUUAAAGUCACAGACGUAUACGGACGGAGCGCUCUAUCCGUAUGUAAUUCUGCCCAUUUUCUGGGAGCAUGUGGAUGUGUACCCA